GGACCUCGCGGCAAGCGGACUUCUAAUCCGGGAGUCGUGGGUUCGAAUCCCACCGGGCCCUCCA
rnacentral:tRNA from 1 species